CCGCCGCCGAACCCCGCCGCCGACCGCCGCCGUGCCCAGCCGCCCAGUUCGACGAUUUCGUUUCGCCGCUUUCUUCACGACACCCGCCGGAAACCACCACCAAUUUGCAAGAAUGAGUGAUAAUCGUACGUGGAUGUACGCGAGAUACAAUGAUCGUACUGCAUUUGAAACGGGGCUUGAGUUUUUCCUUGAGUGGGCGUUCAAUCAAACGGCGUACACAGAUGGACAAGGUAACAUUAGGUGCCCGUGUAAGAAGUGCAAGAAUCAAGCGUAUUUAGAUGUACCUACGGUCAGAAAACAUGUUAGUAGGCGUGGAUUUGUCCUGAAUUACAAAGUUUGGGUUUGUCACGGGGAAGCACCGCUGUAUAUGCCGAGAGAACAUGCUAUAAUGAAUGAGGAUGAUGGAUUAUACAAUAACUACGAAAGGAUGGUGCAUGACCAUGCUGGACCUAGUAAUUAUCAAGAUCCUCCAAAUCUGGAGCAGCCGCCCAAUAAUGACGCUCAACAGAUUUAUAACAUGUUGGAUGCAGCGGAUACUCCAUUGUA